AUGGAUGCGGACGCGCGCGCUCGUUCUGUGCACACGCAAAGCGCUGCAAAAGAGAGAUCCCGUAUUACACCCAUGAGCUCCCAGUUUGGAGAGAGCUGCCGGCCUCUUCCUUUUACCCACAGGAGAUGCUGCCGAAACGGCUGCUUUUACCAGCCCAGCUGUUCCUGCUGGUUCUCUGGGUGCUUCGGGGCACCAGCCCCACUGCAGCUGCAGCAGUGCCACCUCCUCCAUGUGCUGCGUGCUUCUGUGUGGGAGCUGCAUGGAUUUCUUCUUCGCUGGGUGUUUUCUUCACGUCCUAAGGGAAUUCUUUCCAUGAACUCCUCUGUUGUUUUUUUUUUUUUCUUUUCUCUUCCUCAGGUAUCUACAGAAAUCCUGCGUUUCCAGCCAAGGACGUGCUGGAUUUACAGUUGCCUACCACUGUUAAUGCAUUCUCGUCUGCAUGGUCGUGUGAAGGUUGCUUUCCCGUUGACCAGAGGGAGACCAGACCCACGGCUCGGCCACUCACCCUUCUUAGAGCUGCUGAAGACACUCAAAAUGGGACGAUGGCCCCGUGCUGCUCUUUCCUGGAGCCUCCUCUUCCUCCUAAGAUGUACGUUACCCACCUCUCUCACCCUAAAAGCGAUCCAGCCUGGGAGGAAGCUGCAGAAACUCGGCCUCUACAGGCAAGUUGUAGGGCAGGAAGCAGCGAGUGAGGCUCCCACCCGGCUGCCCGUGUGCUUUUCCUGCCCAAAGUUCCCUUCUUUCUGCUCGCAGCUCUGUGCUGCAGUGGGGUGGCUGGGAAGGCUGCGUCACAGCUGA
rnacentral:lncRNA from 1 species